rnacentral:lncRNA from 1 species
ACAGAAAUCAUGCACUUUCAGUCCAAAUUUUGUAGCUUACCAAAAACAUUAAUCGAUUUACCUCACGAGCAUUCGCACACUCGCAAAUCUACAAAAUACUGGUUUUCGGCAUUUCAGCUUUUCGACUUUUGCUGAUUCAGACUAAGAAAGAGGGUGUUAGUUACACACCUGUUUGUGACGAUAUGCUAACGAGAUCCACGCACGAACCGCCUACAAUUGGAUUACUAACACGUUAAUCUAACUAUUCAAAUACAAACUACGUAUUAACCCCUUACAAUAUUUGGCCAACCACACCUACAGAUCAUAGUAAGCUUAUAAGAAAUCAAUAAGCAACUCAUUAACAAAUUUUUGUCAAUGUUUACCACAUAAUCAUAAUUUCACUGCAAGCUGUCUUCCUGAGCAACAGUCACUAAAUCAUUUAUAGCUGGAGCUACGAAACUCAAAAUCAAGUUCCAUUAAUUUUCCCUGAAAAUAGACUCAUGUAUCUUAUAUCCAUAAAAUUUUCAGAAUUUUUGGUUUGGCCAAUCAAUACCAGAUUUUUCUCAAAGUUUCGGAUGUUUCACUAUUUGACUAAUCUGACCACUCUUCAUUACGAAUCAGAUUUCUCAUUGUACAGAAUUCAAAAUAUGUUCUCGUUUAUUCGAUUUUAAAUUAGACUCAUUAAUCUUUAAUUACAUAAUUUAUGCAGCUUCUAACUCAUCUCCCACAAUUUAUGGUGAUUUUCCAAAGUCA